GGAAGGCGCAGUAGCCAGCGGGGAAUUGCUGCUUAGUCCUUAUUUUUAGCGCCUCGCUCAACCUGUGGUGUCAGCCCGUGGACUAGAGAGACAUUGGAGAGUAUUGUUUGUAGACUGCUGCUCUAAGAACUUGGUCAGCUAAUGAAUGGGGUAAGGACGUUGCUUGUUCACAAGACCCAGCAUGAAGUCAGAAUGGAAAGAUUCUUUUCCAUUAAAAAUGAAGAUGCCAACAGAAGCAUAUACUCUUCUGGUUGAUUUCAUAGUCUGAAAAGUUAUCAGCAUCACUGACUGACAUGCAAAUAAGAGGAGACAGUGGCCUAGGAGUCUGCUUCUGUGUGCACUUAAAAACAUAAAUGCAUAGUUAGUACCAGUAGCCAGGGGCACUCUUGACCUGAAAGAAGCAGAUGGAAGACCAAUAAGCCCCCAUGAGACUUGCAGCUGUGAGUUCACAUCCUCUUAAGCAGCUGUUGUUUUUAUGCAGCCAUAAAGGUGUCUCUGAUGUGGAAGCCUUUGUUCCCAGUGAUACCCAGAAAGAGUACACCCCUGGAAGAACUAAUGUGCAGUAACCAGACUCUCACUGGUGGAUAGACUUUCAUCUCUCUUAGACACCGGGAGAAGUCUGAGGAUCAGCUGCAGAUUGUACCAAAAAGGACAAAGCCCUAGGAGAAACAGCUUGAAUUCCACCCUAUGUCAGAGAAACCUUCACACUGAGGGGGGUGGCUUUUUCACACCCCUGCAUGAUCUUUCAUCUAUCUCAGACAUGAAUUAAUCCUCCUACCAUCCCUAUGACAAAGGUAAAUAUCUUUAUACCUGCCUUAUAGAUGGGUAGACUGAGGCUCAGAAAAGGAAAAAGGCAAGUUUGAGGCAAAACUGGAAGUAGAAUCCCAGAGCCUUAACUGCCAUUCUCCUGCACCACUCACUGGACCAAGAAGUGUUAACUACAGCCCAAAAGAGAAAUUAACCUUCAUAGACAGAGCAGAAGGGUAAGGGCAGUGUCCAGCCAGAGGGAGGGCUGGCUAAACCAUGUUGCAGCUGUUUGUAUGCAUGUAUUCACACAUGCAACUGAAGAAAGUAAAUGAACACAACCAAUCUAAGACAAUGAAUCGAACAGUCACCAGAACAAAGAUGCAAGACACAGUAAAUCUAAAUGCCAUUCUCAGCCAUUUGUGUGGCGUAAUCAAGCAGGUGGGAGUGUAAAAGCUCCCUCGUCACUUAUUCCUGAAUCAUCUUUAGCAUGUUAUUGCCUAGCGCUCUUGUAGCAUGUUGUCUGCCAGAUAAUAAACGACUGAUGCUUCAUUCACCACUGUAAUGAGCAGCAAAGAGUCCUGUGGCACCUUAUAGAUUAACAGACGUAUUGGAGCAUGAGCUUCAUUCACCACUGUAAUGAGGACAUUAUUAAAAAUUAUCUCUGGAAA